UGGGGAAUAUUGCACAAUGGGCGCAAGCCUGAUGCAGCCAUGCCGCGUGUGUGAAGAAGGCCUUCGGGUUGUAAAGCACUUUCAGCGAGGAGGAAGGUGGUGAACUUAAUACGUUCAUCAAUUGACGUUACUCGCAGAAGAAGCACCGGCUAACUCCGUGCCAGCAGCCGCGGUAAUACGGAGGGUGCAAGCGUUAAUCGGAAUUACUGGGCGUAAAGCGCACGCAGGCGGUUUGUUAAGUCAGAUGUGAAAUCCCCGGGCUCAACCUGGGAACUGCAUUUGAAACUGGCAAGCUAGAGUCUCGUAGAGGGGGGUAGAAUUCCAGGUGUAGCGGUGAAAUGCGUAGAGAUCUGGAGGAAUACCGGUGGCGAAGGCGGCCCCCUGGACGAAGACUGACGCUCAGGUGCGAAAGCGUGGGGAGCAAACAGGACUAGAUACCCUGGUAGUCCACGCUGUAAACGAUGUCGAUUUUGGAGGUUGUGCCCUUGAGGCGUGGCUUCCGGAGCUAACGCGUUAAAUCGACCGCCUGGGGAGUACGGCCGCAAGGUUAAAACUCAAAGGAAUUG
rnacentral:rRNA from 1 species